rnacentral:SRP_RNA from 1 species
GUCCAGAGAAUAUGGAUUUUCGACUGACGAACCCGCCAGGGCCUGACGGCAGCAACGGUAGUUUGUUCGAAAAUGCCGUAGCUCUCUGGCAGCC